UAAUACCGCAUAACACUAUUGAAUAGCAUUAUUUAGUAGUCAAACAUUUAUGGGUUAUCGAUGGGCAUGCGUCCAAUUAGCUAGUUGGCGAGGUAACGGCUCACCAAGGCGACGAUUGGUAGGGGAACUGAGAGGUUGGUCCCCCACACUGGUACUGAGAUACGGACCAGACUCCUACGGGAGGCAGCAGUAGGGAAUAUUGGGCAAUGGGCGCAAGCCUGACCCAGCCAUGCCGCGUGGAGGAAGAAGGCGUUAUGCGUCGUAAACUCCUUUUAUAAGAGACGAAAGAGACGGUGCGCCGUUUGUUGACGGUAUCUUAUGAAUAAGCAUCGGCUAACUACGUGCCAGCAGCCGCGGUAAUACGUAGGAUGCAAGCGUUGUCCGGAUUUACUGGGUUUAAAGGGUGCGUAGGCGGUUUUAUAAGUCAGUGGUGAAAUCUUAUAGCUUAACUAUGAAUGUGCCAUUGAUACUGUAAGACUUGAGUGUUUAUGAGGUGGGCGGAAUUGGUAGUGUAGCGGUGAAAUGCAUAGAUAUUACCAGGAACGUCGAUAGCGAAGGCAGCCCACUAAUAAACAACUGACGCUGAGGCACGAAAGUGCGGGGAUCAAACAGGAUUAGAUACCCUGGUAGUCCGCACUGUAAACGAUGAUAACUAGCUGUUUGGAGCAAUUCAAGUGGCUAAGGG
rnacentral:rRNA from 1 species